CCAAAAAAUACCGAGGUAGUCCCAAACAUCCCGAUAUAGUCCCGAUAGCCUCGAAAAACCCGGAAUAGUCGAAAAUCCCGAAGAAAUCUCGAAAUAAUCCAGCAACCCCGAAAUAGUCCCAAAAAUUCCGAAAUAGUCCCAAAAAUUCCGAAAUAAUCCCGAUACAUUCGCGAGAACCCCGAUAAUCUCGAAGUUAUCCCAAGAAUAC